rnacentral:rRNA from 1 species
UGGAUCCACACUUUGAUCAUGGCUCAGGAUGAACGCUGGCGGCAUGCCUAAGACAUGCAUGUCGUACGAAGGGGCCCAAUGAAAAGAAUUGAAGUUUGGAGUGCUUGCACAAAGAAUGGAUUUUCUUGGAUUUGGAUUUUCCCCUUAGUGGCAAACGGGUGGGUAACACGUGGGUUACCUGCCUCUAAGAUGGGGAUAACAGUUGGAAACGACUGAUAAUACCGAAUGUGCUCUACGGAGUAAAGAUGCCUUUAAAGCAUCGCUUAGAGAUGGGCCUGCGGCGUAUUAGCUAGUUGGUGGGGCAACGGCCUACCAAGGCGACGAUGCGUAGCCGAACUGAGAGGUUGAUCGGCCACACUGGGACUGAGACACGGCCCAGACUCCUACGGGAGACAGCAGUUAGGAAUAUUCGUCAAUGGGGGAAACCCUGAACGAGCAAUGCCGCGCGAACGAUGACGGCCCUAUGGGUUGUAAAGUUCUGUUGUUUGGAAAGAACGUCAGAUAGAGGAAAUGCUAUCUGAGUGAUGGUACCAUUCAAGAAAGCCACGGCUAACUACGUGCCAGCAGCCGCGGUAAUACGUAGGUGGCGAGCGUUAUCCGGAUUCAUUGGGCGUAAAGGGUGCGCAGACGGUUUAUUAAGUCUAAAAUCAAAUCUUGGGGCUUAACCCCAUUCCGUUUUAGAAACUGGUAGACUUGAGUAUGGUAGAGGCAAAUGGAAUUCCUAGUGUAGCGGUGGAAUGCGUAGAUAUUAGGAGGAACACCAGUGGCGAAGGCGAUUUGCUGGGCCAUUACUGACGUUCAGGCACGAAAGCGUGGGGAGCAAAUAGGAUUAGAUACCCUAGUAGUCCACGCCGUAAACGAUGAGUACUAAGUGUCGGGUUACCGGUGCUGAAGUUAACACAUUAAGUACUCCGCCUGAGUAGUACGGUCGCAAGGCUGCAACUCAAAGGAAUUGACGGA